AGUGAACGCUGGCGGCAUGCCUAACACAUGCAAGUCGAACGGCAGCACAGUAAGAGCUUGCUCCUACGGGUGGCGAGUGGCGGACGGGUGAGGAGUACAUCGGAAUCUACUUUUUCGUGGGGGACAACGUAGGGAAACAUACGCUAAUACCUCAUACGACAUACGGGUGAAAGCAGGGGAUCUUCGGACCUUGCGCGUUUGAAUGAGCCGAUGUCGGAUUAGCUAGUUGGCGGGGUAAAGGCCCACCAAGGCGACGAUCCGUAGCUGGUCUGAGAGGAUGAUCAGCCACACUGGAACUGAGACACGGUCCAGACUCCUACGGGAGGCAGCAGUGGGGAAUAUUGGACAAUGGGCGCAAGCCUGAUCCAGCCAUGCCGCGUGAGUGAAGAAGGCCUUCGGGUUGUAAAGCCCUUUUGUUAGGAAAGAAAAGCAGCAGGUUAAUACCCGGCUGUUCUGACGGUACCCAAAGAAUAAGCACCGGCUAACUUCGUG
rnacentral:rRNA from 1 species